rnacentral:tRNA from 1 species
GUAAGGUGGCUGAGUAAAGCGGUAGACUGUAAAUCUAUUCACGAGGGUUUCCUCCCUUAUCAG